GGACGGACUAUUUAAUAACAUUGAACACACAAUGUCCGAGGGCGAGUUCCGGACAGCAUGAAAUAUGGUAUUCCCGUCAAUUAAGAUUGUUAAAAUAAAUUUCUAACUACCGAGAAUUAUUAGUAAUGUGUGAUUAAUGCGAGUCAUGCCGAAGGUAAGUUAGGAGGUCCAGCAAACAAAAUCCGCGGAGCUGGUCACGAUGCGCCUCGCCGGUGAGUCACCCGCGCGGCGGCGGCGGCGCGACCCGGCUCCUCCGACAACACCCGAUCAUCCAUUAAUAACCUUCAUUAUCAUCACUAUUUUAAACUCGUCGGCUACGACUGUCUCAUUUCACUUUCAGCUAACUAUUAUUCAAUUAUUUUGUUGUAUUUCCACUCUUACUUUUGUCACAAUGGUGUUUUAUUGAUAGUGCCGCCAGGGCGGGCGGGGGCACCAGGCACCGGCAGCAUCCGGCUCGAGACCCAACAUUUUUUGCUCGAAGAAAAGUAUUUUCUUAUUGGUUUUUUCUCUAAGAUAACUGAAGGAGGACGUCAUCAGCUGGUGGUUUUUGUUGGGGCUCCAUCGAAGACGAACUUUCGCGAUUAUGACUCCGAGGGAGACUGACGGCGCGCUCCUCGCAUGAGCUGCGGCGUGGGACUCAACCCGAUAGCCAAUUAAUAUUGCUAUGUAACUUGUUUGCAAGCCAUCGUCAAAACCUCACGCAAACACUCAUAAAUACUCAUAAUAGAUGAAAGCAAGCCAAAGAUAAAAAGAACCGUAACAGCAAUGUCUGUCAGGGGUUCAAGGGAACUUCCUUGUUGGACGAGUUGUGCGAGAACACAGCUCAUCACUCGGCACAGCCGGCUGACUGCCGCGAUGACGACUGAUGAUGGAUGACCGACGACCUUCGCAAGGACGCCGCACAAACACGUACAACUACUCGCCGGCGCGAGCACUCGACGAGUAACUAUGGAACAUGGAGAGGAGGUCAUUUUUCUAUUUGGACAGACCAUAAUAUUGAUAAGUAACAAUGUAUGGAGGAGGUCUCCGCGCCGCAUGACGCUGCCUCGUGAGUUAUCACUCGGAA